rnacentral:rRNA from 1 species
UGGGGAAUAUUGGACAAUGGGCGAAAGCCUGAUCCAGCCAUGCCGCGUGUGUGAAGAAGGUCUUCGGAUUGUAAAGCACUUUAAGUUGGGAGGAAGGGCAGUAAGCGAAUACCUUGCUGUUUUGACGUUACCGACAGAAUAAGCACCGGCUAACUCUGUGCCAGCAGCCGCGGUAAUACAGAGGGUGCAAGCGUUAAUCGGAAUUACUGGGCGUAAAGCGCGCGUAGGUGGUUCGUUAAGUUGAAUGUGAAAGCCCCGGGCUCAACCUGGGAACUGCAUCCAAAACUGGCGCGCUAUAGUAGGGCAGAGGGUGGUGGAAUUUCCUGUGUAGCGGUAGAAUGCGUAGAUAUAGUAAGGAUCACCAGUGGCGAAGGCGAACACCUGGGCGCAUACUGACACUGAGGUGCGAAAGCGUGGGGAGCAAACAGG